rnacentral:misc_RNA from 1 species
GAUGAAGAACGCAGUGAAAUGCGAUAAGUAGUGUGAAUUGCAGAAUUCAGUGAAUCAUCGAAUCUUUGAACGCACAUUGCGCCCCUUGGUAUUCCAUGGGGCAUGCCUGUUCGAGCGUCAUUUGUACCCUCAAGCUUUGCUUGGUGUUGGGCGUCUUGUCGUAUUACGACUCGCCUUAAAUACAUUGGCAGCCGGCACUUUGGCCUAGGAGCGCAGCACAUUUUGCGAUCGUAGCCCGUUGUACUGGCGUCCAUCAAGAACAUUUACCACGUUUGACCUCGGAUCAGGUAGGGAUACCCGCUGAACUUAAGCAUAUCAAUAAGCGGAGGA